rnacentral:misc_RNA from 1 species
UUCAAUUGGUUCUAGUCUAGCCUCGUACGUGACCAUUAUUUCAUCCCCAUUUCCUUGUUCUGAUUUCCACCGUGGAGUUUCUCCCGUACAGCAAGAUUUUGAUGUUAAUGGUGGUGGUGUUUGCAGCAGCGGAUCUAGAGCUCAUCACCU